rnacentral:rRNA from 1 species
UUGGCGGCCUUCUUUCUUAUCAGAGGAACUCGUAUCUUAAUCUGAUAAUCCGCGUUAUUUUUCACUUUAUUUAUUAGUCUUUAUAUCGCUGUCUUAAGAUAUAAGUAUAAACUUAUAUCUUCAAAAAUCCCUUUUUACGUCAAGUCGAGAUAAUACUUAUAAUAAAGGGAGCCGAGUUACUUAUACUUCCAUUUAUGUUUUAAUCUUCUAAAGAAAUUAAAUUUAGGAUUUGAAAGUAAUUAAUAUAAUAAUAUUUUUUUAUGAAAUAGAAUUUUAGGUGUACAUAUCGCCCGUCACCCUCGUCCAAAGAUGAGGUAAGUCGUAACAUAGUUAAUAUACUGGAAAGUGUAUUAAGGG